CCUACGGGUGGCAGCAGUGGGGAAUAUUGCACAAUGGGCGCAAGCCUGAUGCAGCCAUGCCGCGUGUGUGAAGAAGGCCUUCGGGUUGUAAAGCACUUUCAGCGGGGAGGAAGGCGGUGAGGUUAAUAGCCUCAUCGAUUGACGUUACCCGCAGAAGAAGCACCGGCUAACUCCGUGCCAGCAGCCGCGGUAAUACGGAGGGUGCAAGCGUUAAUCGGAAUUACUGGGCGUAAAGCGCACGCAGGCGGUCUGUCAAGUCGGAUGUGAAAUCCCCGGGCUCAACCUGGGAACUGCAUUCGAAACUGGCAGGCUAGAGUCUUGUAGAGGGGGGUAGAAUUCCAGGUGUAGCGGUGAAAUGCGUAGAGAUCUGGAGGAAUACCGGUGGCGAAGGCGGCCCCCUGGACAAAGACUGACGCUCAGGUGCGAAAGCGUGGGGAGCAAUCAGGAUUAGAUACCCGGGUAGUC
rnacentral:rRNA from 1 species